AUGAGCCACCUUCCAGGAUCGGUGUGUGGCCAGAGGCCAGAUCCUGCCCGGGGAGGGAGGGGUAGCACCUGCACACCGGCGCGGCUCUGGAGCGUCUCCAAGAGCAGCAGCAGGUUUGCUGAGACGCCACCCAGCUGGGGAAUGCACCUGCCCGGGCGGGAGGCGAGGGCUCCGCCGGACCGCGGGGCUGCCGCGCACCGGCAACGGGAGCCUCGCCCGGCUCCUGGCAGGCACUGGCAAGAGCAAGGGAAGAGAUUUUCCCUGUGGGCUCCCUCGUCAGCUGGAUCCAGUGGAAGGAAAGCCAGGAAAAGCCAUUGCUGCCAGGCUGGAGCAGGGAAGUGUGCCGGGGUGUCGCAUGUGGGCAGUGUCUGCUGCAGGCUAUGGACAGAUCAGGAGAAGAAGCAAACAAGCUGUGACGGACUGGGAAAACAGAGGGCUGAGAUGGCUUGGAUUCGCUUGAGAUUGUGAAGCUCUGCUGGCUCUCAUCCACACUGCUCAGGUAAAUAAUUUUAUGUAUUGUUAUUUUAUAGGAAACCUUGUUGGACUCUCCCAGUCUCCAUGAUGCUUACGAAGUCCACAUAAAAGCUGCAUGAAACCCUUCCAAGGCUGGAAGUACAAGGAAGUACUGCAGGAGCCUGUCUCAUCCCCAGACUUCCCCUCCUAAACCCUGUGGGUAAGCAUUGAUUCGAGGGGUACCCUGGGUUUGAGAAGAGAUGGAAGUGAGAAACAUUUCAAGAGCUGAAUUGCAUGUGGUUCUGAAAUUGCAUUGUUAAUUAAUGUACAGUCUGUGGCCUGUCUGCCAGUUAUCAGUCUGUCAGGCACAAAAAGUUUAAAAGUUACUAAAUAUAUGCAUGUAUCACUCCGAGGCGUUCAGCCAGGGUACAUCUCCCACACCUGCAGCCAGGAGUGGCCAGGAGCACAUUGAUGAUGACCCUCAAUUUCCACUGAAAUGUUGUCAGAGCAGGGAAAGAAAAAAACAACCAACACAAUGGAAAAGGAAAACCAUGAAUACUUUUGUUUUCCUGCAUUCCUAGUGCUUUCCUGCUCUUCCUCCACAGCUGCCAGCCAGCAGUGGGGAAGGACAGCAUGUCACUUUUUUCCUGAAAUGUGCUGUUUGGACUUAAAGCAUUGUGUGGCUGGGCUGGUCCUCUCCUGCUUUUUCUCUUGCACACAGAGAUGGAAGCACAGAAGGUGCUGGCUUCAGUAGUGAGAGUAUAGAGAUUAAUGACCCGUGAUCCACACUAUCAAAUACACCAAUCUGAUGGGCCACUGGCUUGUUAUGGUCUGUCCCAGACCAGUGAGACCAGCUAGCCCAAAGAACACCAAAAGAAGGGGCAACAGCUUUGGGGGGCUGUCCUCCCUCACGGCAGAGCAGGCAUCUAUAUUCCUUCCUUCCUUCCUCUCAGUCUGAUCUGGGCAAAGUGAUGUGCUGCACAGUGCCAAGAAAGCAAUCAGCAAAGCUGCUGUGAGAGCAAAGUUCAUCCCUUCUUCAAGGAGUGGUGGGUGACAGUCCAGGAUAGCUUUGGUUUAACAUAGAAAGAGCUUUCUGAAGAGGGUGGGAGGCAAUGCACCCAGCCUGAGGAAUGAGAAUCUGCAGCUAGAUUUAAGGAGGAAUGUUUUCAUGGUGAGGGUGAUUUAACUCUGGAAUGAUCCCUGAGGGGCUAUAGAUUCUCCUUCCUUGGCAUGUAAAUGAAUGGGGCCCUGACCUGCUCAGUCUGACUUUUAGGUGAACUCUGCUUUAAGCAGGUGACUUCACAAGGUCCCAUCCCACCUUAAUUAUUCUGUGAUUCUAGGAGUAAAAAUACUGUUAUUAGCAGCACAAGCCCUCAGGGUCUAGAGGGAUGAUUUUAGCAUCUAGCAAGUGUAGAUGGUUUUAGAGCAAAAGAUUAUAUUCCCAGAACAUUUUCAAACAGACGCAAGGAAACAUGAAAGUACACUUCAGUGGAAGUCUUUGCCUCUCCACAUCAUUUGUUUAAUAGAGGUUAAUGCAACACUGGGAAACUCUCCAAAUAAUCUGCUUAAUAGAGGUUAAUAUAACACUGGGAAAAACAUGCUUGUAGAGGUGAUACCUAAUUUUGUUCCUCAGCCAGAUGCUCCUAUGGUUUUAUUUUGCUCUCUUGUCCUUCUUCUGAGCAAAUAAAAAACUAAAACGGUUAAAUUUUAAAAAGUAA
rnacentral:lncRNA from 1 species